GGCUCGGUAGCGGAUGGUCCGCGUCUGCUUCAAAUGAAAAGGUAUGCAAGCGGGAUUACACGCAGAUCUCGCCUGUUCGAAUCAGGCCCGAGCCA